rnacentral:rRNA from 1 species
UACGAAGGGGGGCUAGCGUUGCUCGGAAUCACUGGGCGUAAAGCGCACGUAGGCGGCUUUCUAAGUCAGGGGUGAAAUCCUGGAGCUCAACUCCAGAACUGCCUUUGAUACUGGAGAGCUAGAGUCCGGAAGAGGUGAGUGGAACUGCGAGUGUAGAGGUGAAAUUCGUAGAUAUUCGCAAGAACACCAGUGGCGAAGGCGGCUCACUGGUC